AUAUGAAUACGAUUGGAUUUUGUAAUUUAAGUGGAAAGGAGGACAGAUAUUUCGAAAGCAAGCGUAAACAGUUUGGUAGGGAGAGGGUGGAAGCUUAUGGACGGACCAUUAGGGAUUCUGUGUCGAUAGAAACAAGUUUGCGGUGUAUUUGUUCAUUAGAUUAACCCUAACGAUUGUGAGUCGUAGUGAUUUCCUCCUUCUGGAUAGGUUAGCAGAGGAUUUUGCUCGGUUGCCGCCCUGAGGGGCUGAUCCCAACUUACCGAUGGAGAUCCUAACCGGAAAACAAGAAUAUUUCAGGAUUGAAAGACGUGGCAGCGUGGUGGGAUGUCGUGAGACGAGUAAAGAAUAUUUUAUCGAACCGUUGAAACAGAUAUACGACAGAUCAAAAAUUUGACAUCACUUUAUACCAUCUACGUAUUGUUAUCUGGUCUAUGAUUCUUUCUUUUAGUCCUGUAAAAACGUGGCAUAACAAAAAUGAAAAGAAAAUCUCAGGAAUAUGGAAAUAAUCGAAUUAGCAGACGGAAUAACCUCAAAAUAAAUAUUAAAAUGCUGGAACGCGAGAAAUUGCCGACGGAUGGUAAGGUUCCGGCGGGAACAAUAGGAGUUUGGAAAUCUUUCGAAUUUUAAAGAACUUGCUCGACACUGUUAAGAAUUUGUACAAGAAGCGAAGUGAAAGUUAGAAAAGUACGAUAACAAGAUUAGAAAAAAGAACAAGCUGCCUGGAACUAAGUUCGUUUACGUAGGAAAGCGACGAGAAGGGAUCAUGCGCAACGAUCGGAAACGCGUCUCUCAGAUUUCAAAUUCACCACUUCCCAUUCGUCUAUAACAUCUCGUCACGCGGACGUUGAAAGUGAAAGAUGUGACGCCCGAUCAGACCAAAGGAUUCGCUUUUCAUACCGGAGGAUGCUGAAGCUCGUGAAAGAUUCACGGCACGUCCAAGAUUCUCUCGAUGCGUCACAUUAAGCGAGUUAUAAGGAUAUAUCCGAAGCGGUGCUAUCAAUAUCACGACGGCAGGAAGUCAGGAGAAGUCACUGUUACGCCUGAUCACUUCCGCUUUGACGAUAAAUCAGAAAACGCGCAAUUUUCACGUUCCAUUGAAUAAUACAAAUGAAAUGGAGAGAUAGAUUUGUUAUGCAGAGAAGCAAUAUUUCAUCUAGAAAUUGCGAAAGUAGCGGAAUUUCUAUAUUUAAUCGACGAUCAAUAAAAAAUUAGGACAUGCAACUUUUUAAUUUCAAGCUUCGAAAGAUCAUUAGACAUUCUUUGUUAAUCUUACUAAAUGAAAUUGGCAAAUAGAAUUACCGCGAGACGAAGCAAAAUUUUACCUGGCGUGUUACAAAGUAGCGAAAUGUAUUAUCCAAUCAACUUGAAAGUUUAUUUAAUAACUGAACGUUCAAUUUUAGUUCUAAGCUUUGAGAGAUCAUUGGACUCUAGGAUCACUGACUUUGUCUUUAUCCUUCUUAAACAAACGACGAAUAGAAUUGUGGCAGAGCAAAAUUGUAUUCAGAACCUCAAACUAGAAUCUCAAAUUUUAGAAAUAUCAUUCUCGAUAAUAGAUCUUACAAAAUAGAUUAAUAUAAUUGAUCUACAAAUAUUCAUACAAUAACGAUAUUUAUCUAUGCUUGAAUAGGAAACAAUUUCUCUUAUCGUGACUCCUUUAUUGAUCUUCCUUUAUUAAUUUAUUAAUAUAAAACUAAUUCCAAUUUUGCUCGUCUAAAGAUUAAGUAAUAAAGCCGGAGCGGUUAAGGAUUCGUUAAGGGUACUAAAUCAGACGUUCGAUAAUAGAAUUGCAGUUGAUGGUGAUUGCUACACUCUCAGCCGUCAGAAAUUACCUUCUUCAAUUAACCAAAUAAGUUCGGGACGGAAACGCAUGGCUCUGCAGAGACAAAAUCUUGAUUAAGAGAUGCAUCGGACAGGCCGAUGCCAUCCGGCUUGAUGAAUAAAUCGCUAUAGACAGAUCUCAUUAACUGUGUAUCCACUUUCGUGUCUGACCACAACCGUCACGGUUCGCUGUCACUGCUGUGUUUCACUACUUAAGUCAAGCGAAACAGUAUUUUCGACUCUAGUCAUAGUAACUUAGAUAUGAGGAGUACUGUAAGAUCGAUUAAGUAAUGCAAUUAAUAGUUGAUUCACGUAUGAGAACAGUAGAAUCCCAGAAAUCUUGGUCAGGAUCUCGGCUGUAAUUGUUCUUCAAUUCCUACUGUCUCUGUGAGAUUUUUUAUUAUUGGAAUUUUCUUUUUUAUAAUCGUUUCAUUCAAUUAUCGAGUUUUCCUUCUAUUGUCUUUGUAAGUUCUUUUUUGUUAAAGCUUGUGCGUCCUGGUUUUUUCCUAUUAUUACAAGCGUCUUCUUAAAGUUCCUGUACUUUCUUAUCGUUGGAAUUUCUUUCCAGUAUCUUGCACUGCUAUUUUUCAUCCCAGCAAUUCUCUUUUAUCUUUCCUUUUGACUUUCAAGUUCUCUUUUACACGGAGUGGAAUCCGUUUCUUGUUCUCCCCAAACUGCUUUUUUCACUGCUGGAGUUUUCUUCUUGAUUGUUUCUUGAUAACCUUGCACGUUUCCUUUUAAAUUAUUACAAUCUCUCUUGAUGCUCUUUACUAGUUCAUUUUUUUAAUUAGAAUCUCUUUUUUGAUGUCCUUACCACCUUAUCCGUUUCUCAAAUAUUCUGACAUCUAACACAGAAGAAAUAAUAACACUUACCAAUUCCUAAUUGCAAAUAGCUGCUAUGGGAGCGUCAUACCAAAAAUCCUCACUCUAACUCAAGAAAACUUCCUCAGAAUACCUCUCGACCAAUUAAUUCUUCUUCCAAAUACUCUGACCUGUCCUCGCAGCAAGAAAUAAGGAAGAAAACUUCACUCUGUAAUUCGAACAAAAAUAAAAGAUCCCAUGCUACCCACAUAUAUUCGCAUUAACUAAAUUCCUCUAGUACCUCCUUGACGGUUCUCCAACUGGCAACUAAAUACCAGUCCCUGUAUUCCGCACUCAGACCAUUCUUAACACCAAUUACCCAGCUUAAUCUGAACUAUCAGCGCGAUAACGCGCAGGCCAGCGUCGAAGGAGUUCCGUGGAAAACGGCGAAUACCGUCGUGCACCGGUGUGUUUGCAACAGUCGACGUCGUUCUCCGUAGAUGAUACCCAGCAGGACAGUUUUUAAUCACCAUGUCACAAUUGCUUCAACUUCAAGAAGACCAACCGAUCUCCAUAUUCCGCCAAACCAUACAAGUUUCAAGCGAUAGAAAAUGAUUCCACCAUGGAAUUAAUCGAGCUGGCUAGAUCGUUCCACUUUGUUCAAUUGAAUGUAGACCCUCAGGAGCUGGUAAGAGCAACGGUUGUUGGUCCAGCAGAGCAACACCAGCCUGUUCACCCUCUGGUAGCUUCUAUUCUGUGCUACAUCCCAUUGAUGACACCAUGGACAGGGGUGGCAGAAUGUCGCGUGGCGACACGUUUCACUGUUCUGAGUCACAUGUCAUUCCGUAUGAAUUACAACUCCAUUAACGUUCCAGACAACCUGCGAGCAUACAUAAUGCUGGCGAAUUGAGCGGAUCAGCUCCUCGGCCAAGAUGUUGAUUUAUGGGGAAUGAUGGAGGUGCCCUGGUCCUUGGACGAACGGAGCCAAUCAUAAAGUGAUUGAAUUUUUAAUCUGUUACUUGGAGAUCUUGUUUUGCGUUCCAUUUUAAGGUAACUUGUUUUUAAGAGAACUGCAGAUCCUUUUCUUCUUUUUGUUUUUAGCUCUAUUCAUUUUUCAUCUUUUCCUCUUCUUCAUCAUGUUUCUCCUUCUUUUAAAUUUUAAUGAAAUCCAUUGUGCGUUGUUUCACGGUUAUCCCUCUGUUCAUCCUCUCCUUUCGCUUCUUUCAGAGUCUGAACGACAGUUUCAGUUUCAUACAAUACAAUACAAUAUAAUUUUCUUGUCUUUUUUUUCUCGCGUCGUGCGACACUGUUAAUUCACAAUUAAUCAAACGAUGGACGUUGCAAAGAGUACAAAAUACCAAGUUGCUCAAACGAUCUACAAAGAACGAAGAAAAUGUCUCAAAGUUAAUUUGACGAUCGUACGUAAUUGCAUGUGAAUAUUGGUAAAGUAUCUUACAAUAAAAUAAACGAGAAUCUGUGAUGUAAAUCGAUAAAGUUUCCAGAUGUCUUAAGGGUGGACCUUAGGCUAAGGAAUUAGGGAAGAUUCGAAGCGACUACCCUACGUCAGGGAAAACCUCUCUAGAAAUGGCGGUCGGCCCGUGAUGCCGCAAACUAAUAGAAAAUUGAUAGUAACUUCGUGCUUGAUUAUCAUGCGUGCGUAGUACGUUCACGUUUACGGUUUCCAGAUGAGCUAAGCAGAACGUUCGGUUACAGCUAAACAAUUCUAAUUCCUUGUGCCAUUGAUUUCUCAAAUUCUCUAUGUAAUUAAUAGGAAUGCGAAAAUAAUUUAUUAUUCUUCAAUAACGUAAUUUCAUAAAGCGAUGAAAUUAUAUAUAAAAGUAUGGAAAUUAGAAAAAGUUAAAACAAAAUUAGAAAUUUGAUUAAUGGAAAAAUUCAUUGCCUUGAUUCCAUUACGAUUGAAAAAUAGUACAAUGACAGAAUUAGAAAUUCUAUUUCCACGAUAAAUAGAUUACACUGCCUUCAUUGUUAAUAAUAGAAUAAUUAAUUUUUCGUUAUUGUUAUCAGCGAACUAAUAGAAUAGAAAUUAUAGGAUUAUCAAAUUGGGAAUUCUACUUUCAUAAUGGAUAGCUGAACAUAUUCUAAGCUGCUUAUUAAUAAUAGAAUAAUUCAUGUUUUUAGUUAUUAAUACUAUCGUUAGAGGAUCAAUUAUUAAUACUAUAGUUAGAGGACUCAUGACAUUUACGUCACAAACAACUGUCGCGGAUGAUAUCGUAAUCCGAAACACCUAAGCUCGUUUGUUUCCAAUAUAUUUUUGCACCGUUGCCAUCGACGAGAUUACAUUUUCCCUGAUAAUGUAAUUUCUGAACAUGUUUUCAGAAUAUGUUUCUGGGACAUCGGUGAUUAGUGUUAGCAGCAAUAAAGUUCCUAGCUAACUGAAUUUACCGGCUGGUAAUAAGUGUCAAAAGUGAACAGCCUGUUUCGCAAUUAGGCAAAAUACAGAUUUUAUGACAUUAAACUUGUUGGCGCAACUGCAAUUUUCGCUCUUAAAAUAUUACACUAGCCACGGUACAUCGUGGCUUUCAGAAUUACACAUCAAUCAAAUACAGAACAGAGGACAAUAAGAGGAACAUUUAUUAAAUCAAUAAAUGAUUCCUUGAUAGUGCAACUUUGAAAAAGUUGCAUUUAAUACUU